rnacentral:rRNA from 1 species
AUAAUUUAAGACUGGAAUGAAAGAGUUAACCUAAAGAAAUAUUUCUAUUCUAUAAACUUCAAAUCUUACUUUUUAGUAAAAAGGCUAAAAUUAAACUUAAAGACAAGAAGACCCUGUAAAACUUCACACAAUUAUUCUUAAUUAACUUACCUUUGUGUUCAGCUGGGGCGGCAUGGGAUUCUAACACCCUAAAAAUUUAAUAAAAAUUUAUCAUACCCAAAAUUUCUGAAAAUUAAACAAGCUACUUCAGGGAUAACAGCGUAAUACAUUUCGAAAGACCCUAUUGACAAAAGUGUUUGCGACCUCGAUGUUGGAUUGU